GCGCCCGUAGCUCAGCUGGAUAGAGCGCCGCCCUCCGGAGGCGGAGGUCACAGGUUCGACUCCUGUCGGGCGCG
rnacentral:tRNA from 5 species